rnacentral:rRNA from 1 species
CUACGGGCUGCACCAGUGAGGAAUAUUGCACAAUGGAGGAAACUCUGAUGCAGCAACGCCGCGUGGAGGAUGACGCAUUUCGGUGUGUAAACUCCUUUUAUAUGUCAAGAAAAUGACGGUAGCACAUGAAUAAGCACCGGCUAACUCCGUGCCAGCAGCCGCGGUAAUACGGAGGGUGCAAGCGUUACUCGGAAUCACUGGGCGUAAAGGACGCGUAGGCGGGAGAUCAAGUCAGGUGUGAAAUCCUACAGCUUAACUGUAGAACUGCACUUGAAACUGGUAACCUAGAGUAUGGGAGGGGGAGAUGGAAUUAGUGGUGUAGGGGUAAAAUCCGUAGAUAUCACUAGGAAUACCUAAAGCGAAGGCGAUCUCCUGGAACAUAACUGACGCUAAGGCGUGAAAGCGUGGGGAGCAAACAGGAUUAGAUACCCCUGUAGUC